GGAGAGGGCUAGCGUUAUUCGGAAUUAUUGGGCGUAAAGGGCGCGUAGGCGGAUUAGUAAGUUAAAAGUGAAAUCCCAAGGCUCAACCUUGGAAUUGCUUUUAAAACUGCUAAUCUAGAGAUUGAAAGAGGAUAGAGGAAUUCCUAGUGUAGAGGUGAAAUUCGUAAAUAUUAGGAGGAACACCAGUGGCGAAGGCGUCUAUCUGGUUCAAAUCUGACGCUGAGGCGCGAAGGCGUGGGGAGCAGACAGGAUUAGAUACCCUGGUAGUCCACGCUGUAAACGAUGAAUGUUAAAUAUGGGGAGUUUACUUUCUGUAUUACAGCUAACGCGUUAAACAUUCCGCCUGGGGACUACGGUCGCAAGAUUAAAACUCAAAGGAAUUGACGGGGACCCGCACAAGCGGUGGAGCAUGUGGUUUAAUUCGAUGCAACGCGAAAAACCUUACCACUCCUUGACAUGGAAAUUAUACCUAUUCGAAGGGAUAGGGUCGGUUCGGCCGGGUUUCACACAGGUGU
rnacentral:rRNA from 1 species